rnacentral:rRNA from 1 species
GGAAUUUUGCGCAAUGGGCGAAAGCCUGACGCAGCAACACCGCGUGUAGGAUGAAGGUUCUCGGAUCGUAAACUACUGUCAGCAGGGAAUAAAAAUGACUGUACCUGCAGAGGAAGCAUCGGCUAACUACGUGCCAGCAGCCGCGGUAAGACGUAGGAUGCAAGCGUUGUCCGGAAUUAUUGGGCGUAAAGAGUUCGUAGGCGGUUACUUAAGUCUGAUGUUAAAUACUGGAGCUCAACUCCAGCAUGGCAUUGGAAACUGGGUGGCUAGAGUGCGGUAGAGGUCUCGGGAAUUCCAGGUGUAGCGGUGAAAUGCGUAGAUAUCUGGAGGAACACCGGUGGCGAAAGCGCGAGACUGGGCCGUAACUGACGCUGAGGAACGAAAGCUAGGGUAGCGAAA